rnacentral:rRNA from 1 species
UAGGGAAUCUUCGGCAAUGGGGGGAACCCUGACCGAGCAACGCCGCGUGAGUGAAGAAGGUUUUCUGAUCGUAAAGCUCUGUUGUUAAGGAAGAACGAGUGUGAGAAUGGAAAGUUCAUGCUGUGACGGUACUUAACCAGAAAGGGACGGCUAACUACGUGCCAGCAGCCGCGGUAAUACGUAGGUCCCGAGCGUUGUCCGGAUUUAUUGGGCGUAAAGCGAGCGCAGGCGGUUAGAAAAGUCUGAAGUGAAAGGCAGUGGCUCAACCAUUGUAGGCUUUGGAAACUGUUUAACUUGAGUGCAGAAGGGGAGAGUGGAAUUCCAUGUGUAGCGGUGAAAUGCGUAGAUAUAUGGAGGAACACCGGUGGCGAAAGCGGCUCUCUGGUCUGUAACUGACGCUGAGGCUCGAAAGCGUGGGGAGCGAACAGG